UAGGCCCUAAAACAUA
rnacentral:tRNA from 1 species